AUUGAACGCUGGCGGCAUGCCUUACACAUGCAAGUCGAACGGUAACAGGUCUUCGGAUGCUGACGAGUGGCGAACGGGUGAGUAAUACAUCGGAACGUGCCUAGUAGUGGGGGAUAACUACUCGAAAGAGUGGCUAAUACCGCAUGAGAUCUACGGAUGAAAGCAGGGGAUCGCAAGACCUUGUGCUACUAGAGCGGCCGAUGGCAGAUUAGGUAGUUGGUGGGAUAAAAGCUUACCAAGCCGACGAUCAGUAGCCGGUCUGAGAGGAUGAACGGGCACAAUGGGACUGAGACACGGACCAGACUCCUACGGGAGGCAGCAGUCGAGAGGUUUCGGCAAUGGGGGAAACCCUGACCGAGCGACGCCGCGUGAGGGAUGACGCCCUUCGGGGUGUAAACCUCUUUUCUGAGGGAAGAAACUCGUCGGAGUGAACAAUUCCGGCGAUUGACGGUACCUCAGGAAUAAGCUCCGGCCAACUCCGUGCCAGCCGCCGCGGUAA
rnacentral:rRNA from 1 species